GUUAACCAGAAAGACCUUCCUGUCCGGUCCUGGCACCUUUGGUUUGGCAAUGAUCUUAGGACUCAUUAAAUUUUGGAGUCAAGGAGUGGUACUGGGAGCGAUGGGACGAACUGGGAGCACGGCGGGGGGGGGGGGGGGGGAGCGUCCGAAGUCUCGCUGAAUUUUACGGCAGUGUGGCAGGUGCGGCUGCUCAACAGCGGUGCUUUACGGCAGAGUGGCGCGCGCUGCGGUGGCAGCGUGUUUUCUGGGCAACAAAAAUAAAAACUUGGAGUUUCUCCCACCCCAUUUCGUGUCAGCGACUCUUUUCCCUCGGAUUCCCACCUCUCGCGCGUUGUUCCCUCCUUAGGUGUGAACGACGAGGGAGCCUUGCAUCUUUUGGGAUCUCCUGGUCAUCUCAGCUGCAGCUUGGCAUUUUUUCACAAGUGUUAUCCGGUCCCAAGGUGAAGCUGCUGACGUCAGCACAAAGACGUGGCUUUUAGCUCCAUGUUUACUCACUGUGUUAAGGAUUUUGUUGUUUGGGUUUGUUUUUUCUUUGUUUUCAGUUGCAGAGCCCUGGCCCCAGGAGGCUCUAGGCACCAGAGGGGAGGUGAUCCAGGUGAGUACCAGUGAGCAAGGGGUUCUGCCACCUUCUCACAGACAGUCCAGUGCUUCAGGGCCCCUGCUGGUAAGAGGUCACUGUGGAGGAGAGGUAGGUAGGAGGUCCCCCAGGAAAGCCAUCCUUUCAGGCAGUACCUCAGUCUGUACAUUUGCCUUUGGCUUUUUUACUUUGCAGAGAAUGUGUGCAGCCUCAGAGAGCUGGAGCCACCUGCCAGUUAGGUUUGAUGGUCUUCAGCUGUUCUUGUGAGUAAUCUCCUAGUCCUACGAGGGUCAUCAAUUAAGGCUUGACCUGUUCCAGCUGCAGGUGCCAAAAGCCACAUCUCCAUGCUGACAUCAGGUCAUGACCCACCUUCUUGCUCUGCUCCUCUGGCCUCUGUUCUGUUCAACUCUGUUCAAAAAAAUCAGUUAGCAAAGUCAGCCACAUACCCCUCCCAUCAGCUCAGGUAAAGCCCGUUCUCGUGACUGCACACACGCUGCAGGCAGGGGCUGCGUCUGGGAGGACCCGAGAACUGCUGCCCUGAGAGCCUAAGCCUAUCCACAGGGUAAGUGGAAAGUCUCCUUCCUACUCCACCUACCCCCAAGUCUACACUGCAGGGCAGAGCAGUUCCAGGCCCAACACAAACUCCAAGGACACAUUUCCAGACAAGUGCUGUGGUGCAACCAGUAGAGAGAACUCUGAGAGAGGAACGACGCCAAAAUGGAUGUGCUGCCGCACGAGAAGACGGAGGAUACGGCGAGACUGAACGGAGGAGGCUCUGAGGAGCCUGAAAAGACACUCUAACAGAAUGGCCUGGGGCAAGAACUGCCUACAGAAUGGCUAAGAUGGAUGGGAGACAAGGCUAUGUUCAGAAUCUUCUUAGAUUCUCACAAGUCCCAGGUGGGAUGACAAGGGAUGACUGCACGGCCCAGCCACCGAUACAACCUGUGAGGAGGUUGUAAAAGACACCUGACCUGACACUUCUCAGAUGCGAUUCCGAUGCAGGUCCAAGCUAGUGAGCCAAAGAACGGAUGGUAUGGGCACUGGGCUGGGCAGUGCAGAGGUUCCAGACCCUAGGAAUGAUGCCUUGGCAUCUCAGAUAAGACCUUGGAGGACAGAAAGGCCUUUGAAGGCAGAAACCAAAGAUGUGGUGAUUGUGAGUAGUCAGACACAAAACACAGACUGGACAAAGGACAUGACACAGACCUGAACUGCUCUGCCCUGCACAUCCUACUCCAUGAUGAAAAGUAAACUGCUCCUCCUAUGUGUGCCAAGGGCCUGUUAGGGCAGACCCUUUCCCCUGUGCUCAUCUGAAAAUCCCUCCCUCCUAACCAUAAAACUGGGCCCAGCUCCCAUCCCCUCUCCAGGUGGGAGCCCUCCACUUAUCUUUCCCACAGCUGGGGAUGUGAAUCCAUCUUCGAUGUGAAGGAAGGACGCCCGGCUGGCUCAGAGGGUCCUGUGAUCCCUGACUCGGUCGCUGUGAGAAAGAAAA